UACAGAGGUCUCAAGCGUUGUUCGGAUUCAUUGGGCGUAAAGGGUGCGUAGGUGGCGUGGUAAGUCUGGUGUGAAAUCCCGGGGCUCGACCCCGGAACUGCACUGGAUACUGCCAUGCUUGAGUACUGGAGAGGAGAUUGGAAUUUACGGUGUAGCAGUGAAAUGCGUAGAUAUCGUAAGGAAGACCAGUGGCGAAGGCGAAUCUCUGGACAGUUACUGACACUGAGGCACGAAGGCCAGGGGAGCAAACGGG
rnacentral:rRNA from 1 species